GAAACAGUUGCUAAGACUGGAUAGGAAAUUAAAAGGCAUCUUUUAAUUUUUAAAAGACCUUUUUCGGAAGGUAUGCUUAAAGAGGGGCUUGCGCCACAUUAGUUAGUUGGUAAGGUAAAGGCUUACCAAGACGAUGAUGUGUAGCUGGACUGAGAGGUUGAACAGCCACAUUGGGACUGAGACACGGCCCAAACUCCUACGGGAGGCAGCAGUAAGGAAUUUUUGGCAAUGGAGGAAACUCUGACCGAGCGACGCCGCGUGAACAAUGAAGUACUUCGGUAUGUAAGGUUCUUUUAUUGAAAAAGAAAAAAUAGUGGAAAAACUAUCUUGACAUUAUUCAAUGAAUAAGCCCCGGCUAAUUAUGUGCCAGCAGCCGCGGUAAUACAUAAGGGGCGAGCGUUAUCCGGAAUUAUUGGGCGUAAAGGGUGCGUAGGCGGUUUGAUAAGUCUAUAGUUUAAUUGCAGUGCUUAACGCUGUACCGCUAUAGAAACUGUCUGACUAGAGUUAGAUAGAGGCAAGCGGAAUUCCAUGUGUAGCGGUAAAAUGCGUAAAUAUAUGGAGGAACACCAGAGGCGUAGGCGGCUUGCUGGGUCUUAACUGACGCUGAGGCACGAAAGCGUGGGGAGCAAACAGGAUUAGAUACCCUGGUAGUCCACGCCGUAAACGAUGAGUACUAAGUGUCGGGUUUUGGCUCGGUACUGAAGUUAACACAUUAAGUACUCCGCCUGAGUAGUACGUACGCAAGUAUGAAACUUAAAGGAAUUGACGGGACCCCGCACAAGCGGUGGAUCAUGUUGUUUAAUUCGAAGAUACACGAAAAACCUUACCAGGUCUUGACAUAAUUUUGCGACAUUAUAGAAAUAUAAUGAAGGUUAUCAGAAUUACAGGUGGUGCAUGGUUGUCGUCAGCUCGUGUCGUGAGAUGUUAGGUUAAGUCCUAAAACGAGCGCAACCCUUGUCGUUAGUUGCGACCACAUAAUGGUGAGCACUUUAGCGAGACUGCCAAUGAAAAAUUGGAGGAAGGUGAGGAUUACGUCAAAUCAUCAUGCCCCUUAUGAUCUGGGCUACAAACGUGAUACAAUGGCUUUUACAAAGAGUAGCUACAACGUGAGUUUUUAGCCAAUCUCAAAAAAACAGUCUCAGUUCGGAUUGAAGUCUGCAACUCGACUUCAUGAAGUUGGAAUCGCUAGUAAUCGCGAAUCAGCAUGUCGCGGUGAAUACGUUCUCGGGGUUUGUACACACCGCCCGUCA
rnacentral:rRNA from 1 species